rnacentral:rRNA from 1 species
CAGUAGCCGCGGGAAUACAGAGGGUGCGAGCGUUAAUCGGAUUUACUGGGCGUAAAGCGUGCGUAGGCGGCUUUUUAAGUCGGAUGUGAAAUCCCUGAGCUUAACUUAGGAAUUGCAUUCGAUACUGGGAAGCUAGAGUAUGGGAGAGGAUGGUAGAAUUCCAGGUGUAGCGGUGAAAUGCGUAGAGAUCUGGAGGAAUACCGAUGGCGAAGGCAGCCAUCUGGCCUAAUACUGACGCUGAGGUACGAAAGCAUGGGGAGCAAACAGGAUUAGAUACCCCAGUAGUCCCUGUCUCUAUACA